rnacentral:rRNA from 1 species
UGGGGAAUAUUGCACAAUGGGCGAAAGCCUGAUGCAGCAACGCCGCGUGAGUGAUGAAGGCCUUCGGGUUGUAAAGCUCUGUCUUUUGGGACGAUAAUGACGGUACCAAAGGAGGAAGCCACGGCUAACUACGUGCCAGCAGCCGCGGUAAUACGUAGGUGGCAAGCGUUGUCCGGAUUUACUGGGCGUAAAGGAUGCGUAGGCGGAUUUUUAAGUGAGAUGUGAAAACCCUAAGCUUAACUUGGGGACUGCAUUUCAUACUGGAAAUCUAGAGUGCGGGAGAGGAGAAUGGAAUUCCUAAUGUAGCGGUGAAAUGCGUAGAGAUUAGGAAGAACACCAGUGGCGAAGGCGAUUCUCUGGACCGUAACUGACGCUGAGGCAUGAAAGCGUGGGUAGCAAACAGGAUUAGAUACCCUGGUAGUCCACGCCGUAAACGAUGAGUACUAGGUGUAGGAGGUAUCGACCCCUUCUGUGCCGCAGUUAACACAAUAAGUACUCCGCCUGGGAAGUACGAUCGCAAGAUU